rnacentral:rRNA from 1 species
AACGAACGCUGGCGGCAGGCUUAACACAUGCAAGUCGAGCGCCCCGCAAGGGGAGCGGCAGACGGGUGAGUAACACGUGGGAACGUACCCUUUACUACGGAACAACUCCGGGAAACUGGAGCUAAUACCGUAUGUGCCCUUCGGGGGAAAGAUUUAUCGGUAAAGGAUCGGCCCGCGUUGGAUUAGCUAGUUGGUGGGGUAAAGGCCUACCAAGGCGACGAUCCAUAGCUGGUCUGAGAGGAUGAUCAGCUACAUUGGGACUGAGACACGGCCCAAACUCCUACGGGAGGCAGCAGUGGGGAUUAUUGGACAAUGGGCGCAAGCCUGAUCCAGCCAUGCCGCGUGAGUGAUGAAGGCCUUAGGGUUGUAAAGCUCUUUCACCGAUGAAGAUAAUGACGGUAGUCGGAGAAGAAGCCCCGGCUAACUUCGUGCCAGCCGCCGCGGUAA